rnacentral:rRNA from 1 species
ACGAACGCUGGCGGCGUGCCUAAUACAUGCAUGUCGAGCGGACUAAUUAAGAGCUUGCUCUUAUGAGGUUAGCGGCGGACGGGUGAGUAACACGUGGGCAACCUGCCCUGUAGACUGGGAUAACGUCGAGAAAUCGGUGCUAAUACCGGAUAAUUGUUGGAACUGCAUAGUUCUAACUUAAAGAUGGCUCCGGCUAUCACUAUAGGAUGGGCCCGCGGCGCAUUAGCUAGUUGGUAGGGUAAUGGCCUACCAAGGCGAUGACGGGUAGCUGGUCUGAGAGGACGAUCAGCCACAAUGGCACUGAAACACGGGCCAUACUCCUACGGGAGGCAGCAGUGAGGAAUAUUGGACAAUCAACGCAAGUUGGAUCCAGCAACGCCGCGUGGACGAUGAAGGCUCUAGGGUUGUAAAGUCCUUUUGAGAGGGAAGAGGAAGGACGGUACCUCUCGAACAAGUCUCGGCUAACUACGUG